UGGUGUCAGGAGAGGAUAACUCAUGGGUCAAAGUUAGCAUGGAGUUAUUUCCCUUUCCUUCCUGACCCAACAUGGCUCCCUCAAGUACAUAUGAAGCGUUUUCCAAGAGAAGAAAGGGAGAAAGUAAAUGAGGAACAAAAAAAACCUCCAGGAGGACACACAGUGGAGGGUCUGAUGAGAGCAUCUGACUCAGUUCUGAGGACUGGGUUCAAAUCCUGGCAUCCCCCUGUGUGGAGUUUGCAUGUUCUCCCCAUGCCUGCGUGGGUUUUAUCCAGCGAUUGGCUGGCCCCCAGUUUAGGGUGUACCCCGUCUCCAGUCCAAAAACAGUGGUGGUGGGCUCCAGCACUCCGGUGACACUUGUGAGGAUAAGCGGCUCUGAAAAUGGAUGGAUGGAUGAAAACAUCCAGGAGCAGAUUGCAUUCUGCCUUUUUGUUCCUUUGAUGUUAACUUUGUGGAUGAGUUUGUUGAGGAAAAGGUUAUUCAUUCUCAUCUUCAUCUUUUGGCCAUUCUGCCUUUUAUCUCCUUGCUUUUCUCAUCAAAAGAGGGAAAAAAAGCCUUCAUCCCUCUUCUUCUCCGACAUCCAUUUUGUGUGCCUCCUCUCCCCACUCGCAGACAUUCUUAACACCUGCUCCUCUUCUUCCGCCUCCUCCUCUUCUUCAUCGUCCCUCUCACGGAAACAUUCCUCUGAGAGAGUGUGCGUGAGAGCUAAAUGAUUUUCUAUUAGCGCCUGCGCCUGUUAACAGUGCUCCAUUUGAUCACGCUAAUCAAAUUGAAAACCUUCAUCUCGCCAACCCUGAAAGCGCUACUUCUUUUUAUGUGUGUGUGUGUGUGUGUGUGUGUGUGUGUAUGCAAGCGUAGAAAUCGAUAUUCUGCUGUUAGGUGGUCGUUGUAAACAAGUGUCCAAUCUGAAGCUCACUGAUUUCUUCGCAGUGCAGAUAAUGGAAAUAGAAAUGUGUCGCAUCCCUGUAUCAUUUUCAAAUAUUUUUGUUUCAUUGCUUUUUUUGUUUUUAUUUUUUUUCUUGGGGGGGUGGUAAUACGAUA